rnacentral:rRNA from 1 species
UACGUAGGUGGCAAGCGUUGUCCGGAGUUAUUGGGCGUAAAGCGCGCGCAGGCGGUGCGGUAAGUCUCUGGUGAAAGCGCUCGGCUUAACUGGGCGAGGGCCGGGGAGACUGCCACGCUGGAGGGGAGCAGAGGCGAGUGGAAUUCCGGGUGUAGUGGUGAAAUGCGUAGAGAUCCGGAGGAACACCAGUGGCGAAGGCGGCUCGCUGGGCUCUACCUGACGCUGAGGCGCGAAAGCGUGGGGAGC